GACGAACGCUGGCGGCAUGCCUAAUACAUGCAAGUAGAACGCAGUUGCGAACGGGUGAGUAACGCGUAGGUAAAUGCCUCAUAGCGGGGGGUAAAUAUUGGGAACGAUAGCUAAAACCGCCUACUGUGAGAUGGACCUGCUUUGUAUUAGCUAGUUGGUGAGGUAAAGGCUCACCAAGGCGACGAUCCAGAGCCGACCUAGGAGGGUGACCGGCCACAUGGGAACUGAGACAGGGCCAAAACUCUUAGGGAGGCAGCAGGAGGGGAUUUUCGGAAAUGGAGGGAAGUCUGACCGCGCAACUCCGCGGGAGUGAAGAAGGUCCUCGGAGUGGAAAGCUACUUUGUUAGAGGAGCGGUACCUAAACAGAAAGGGACGGCUAACUACGUGCCAGCAGCCGCGGUAAUAC
rnacentral:rRNA from 1 species